AUUGAACGCUGGCGGAAUGCUUUACACAUGCAAGUCGAACGGCAGCACGGGGGCAGCCCUGGUGGCGAGUGGCGAACGGGUGAGUAAUACAUCGGAACGUGCCCGGUCGUGGGGGAUAACGUAGCGAAAGUUACGCUAAUACCGCAUACGAUCUGAGGAUGAAAGCGGGGGACCUUCGGGCCUCGCGCGAUCGGAGCGGCCGAUGUCCGAUUAGGUAGUUGGUGGGGUAAAGGCCUACCAAGCCGACGAUCUGUAGCUGGUCUGAGAGGACGACCAGCCACACUGGGACUGAGACACGGCCCAGACUCCUACGGGAGGCAGCAGUGGGGAAUUUUGGACAAUGGGCGCAAGCCUGAUCCAGCCAUUCCGCGUGCAGGACGAAGGCCUUCGGGUUGUAAACUGCUUUUGUACGGAACGAAAAGGCUCUGGCUAAUACCUGGGGCUCAUGACGGUACCGUAAGAAUAAGCACCGGCUAACUACGUG
rnacentral:rRNA from 1 species